rnacentral:rRNA from 1 species
UACGGGGGGGGCAAGCGUUGUUCGGAAUUACUGGGCGUAAAGGGCUCGUAGGUGGCCAACUAAGUCAGACGUGAAAUCCCUCAGCUUAACUGGGGAACUGCGUCUGAUACUGGAUGGCUUGAGUUUGGGAGAGGGAUGCGGAAUUCCAGGUGUAGCGGUGAAAUGCGCAGAUAUCAGGAAGAACACCCGUGGCGAAGGCGGCUCUCUGGAACGCAACUGACGCUGAGACGCGAAAGCGUGGGGAGCAAACAGG